GCUGAUUUGUUUUUUAUUCACUCUCAGCAAAUAACAGUGCGGUAUGCGGGGACACGGGGUGCUCCCGUGGUCCACGUCAGCCUACGCGUCACAUGACAGCCCUCGUAAGUGUAUAAAUGCUGCAAUGGGGGCGGCGCUGCGCUAUUCGCCGGCGCUUUUGCAGCCGACCUACUGCUAACGUGUGCUCGCCCUGCAAGUCCAAGUCGUUGACACUCGUUACCGAGUCUGACCUAGAGAGCCUCAUGGAAACCUGCUCUAAUAACGUCUUCUCUUCCAAUACUACCGCCCCUGUAAUGGGCACCAACUCCCGUGCUCAGCGACAGUCAUUCCAGGAUCUCUCACCCACGCUGACGCCACGCACUCUCCUCCAAAGUAGGCCUAAUUGAUAGAUUGCCACCUGGACUUCCUUUUCUGGAAAACAGGACACCGUGGAUCUUACGCCCAGUUUCGGAGGAAGAAUCGGUCCACAUUCGCCAAAUGCUACAAUGGAUGCGCGGCCAUCUUCUGCGACCCAACCGCUUUCAAGAAGCCCCACCUGUGGCAGGGACUCCUAUGCGAGGAAGGAGCGUGCGGACCCUUUGGAUGCCACCCGCACGUGGCCCAACUCUACGACGAGGAGGACAUGAUCGCGACGCUCGAACAGCGAAGCGUCGUCGCCUUGGGAGAAAUAGGCCUCGACUUCUCCACCAAGUGAAUGCUCUCCGUCAUACAUUUACCAUAGGCGGCAAUUACGGAGAUGAACGUAUGCACGGAAGUGGUUUUUUCCCUUUAGUUUGUCUUAGCAGCCAAUGAAAUUCAUUUUAUAGAAUAUUACGACAUUCGGAGGUUAGGGAAGCGUUAUUCAAUCCCUUGUCGAAGCUUUUAUAUUAUUGUAUGCCUGUGAGCGCAUUUGAUUUGGCUUCAGAAUGCUAAAUUGCGUUCGCACUUGUUGUUUUUUCUUUUUAGGAGACCAAUUAGUGAAUGUUCUCCAAGCGUUUUUCAAUGAUCGCGCUCAUUGGGUUGCAUUGAAGUGCAUCAGAGACCACGAAAAAUAAAAACAAACGGUAUUUAUUAAUUAAAAGGGGGUGCAUCUUUCACGUGAGUCGGUCGCCUACCUUAAUCUUUGGUCGUUGCAGGCAGUGCGAUCAUCAGAUGCAAUAACGCAUCUUACGGUGGCAGCUACAGCUUGCAAGGAAUGAUCGUCUGCCCCUUGUAAUCUACUUGAGGGAUUCCUCACUGGACACCCUGCGAAUCCUGAAGGAGGUGGUGCCUGCUGACUGGCCCAUCCAUCGCCACUGCUUCACGGGAGACUGGACCGAGGCGCAGCUGUGGAUGGACACGUUCCCCAACCUGUGCCUCGGGGUGACUCCUCUUCUGGAGUUUUCCAAUGCUAGUGCUGUUGCUGAGGUCGGCCCCAAGGUUCUCCUCGAUCGUCUGCUGCUGGAGACGGACGCUCCGUACUUCCUCCCGAAAAGCGAGUCUGACCACCUCACGCAGUCACAUCCAGGGAUGGUCAUCCACGUGGCCACCACUCUGUCCAAAGUGAGCAGGUUCCCAUUUGAAGACAUCCUCGUCACUGUCCGGCAAAAUUCGCGGAAGAUCUACCGCAUUUAAAGCGACGGCGAAUGAGCAAGUCUUUUAGCUUCUUUCAUGUGCAAUUUCCAUUGAAGCAACGCCCGCAAAAAUUUGCUGGGCCAUAUCCAGAGUACAUUUCUUUUAUUUGAGAACAGGGAUGCGACUUGUUGUGAUCAUAUCUCUGCUAGAAAGCCUUCUAGCACAUUUCUAGAAAGACUUCUUGACUCAUUUUGAGCCUCUUGUGGUUAGGCGUGACCUCACGUUGAAUAGCCAAACGCCUUGGCCAGUCAUUUUUCGCGUUGAGCAGGUUAUCGGAUACAAGCUUCAACCUCAACCUGAUUGGGAGCCGGUGUCUUAAUCGUUAUGUGCCUAUGUAAUACGGCUGUGAUUCUGUCAGCGCUGUUGCAGACUCGCGACUAACAAUUUAUGUUUUAAGGUAGUAUUCUGCAAAAUGUUCAAAGCCGGUGAAUGUUAGCUAGCAACCUUGGUAGUGCUAGGGAAGACCAGCGAAUAAAGUGCGUAUUGACAUUUACCUGUUUAUAUUUCUCCGGUGAUCACUUCUCAUCGGCUAACAAAUGCUAAAUGUCGUCGCUUGGAGCAGCACGCGCCUGGAUAUUGGAAGCUUCGCGAAAGUUUUGGAGGGUUCUAUCAGUUGUUUGUUGUUAUCAAACCCUGUGUACUCUGAUUGCAUACGCGACGCGAAUUGUGUAGUACUUUCUGGAAGUAGCGCGGGAACCAGCGAUUAGGCUGGAACCAUCAUGUAUAAAAGCCGACGCGCUUGACCCAUGGAUCAGAUUUUUCGACGAUCGCCUUCUGUGCUCGCCGCAAUCGUUGUGCUUGACUGUUGCUUGUUUUUCUGGACACAGAUUCGCCCAAUAAAGAGUUAAUUUCGUGAGUCACAGAUUUCGCUAUUGUGUUGUUCUCCGUCACUACAACAUGGCUUCUGGUGGAGGUGAUUUGCGUUCACGUACCGGACUCCUCCGCAAAGCCGUGAUCCAAGCCCGAACCACGAAUGCAGCGCCAACGUUGCCGCAGACCUGCGAGCUAGCCGGAGGCCGCAAGAAUUGCUAACGGAGCAUGGACCUCUUCUCAAGAAGGCCAUUGAAGUCAAGGCCAUGUCAACAACCACAAUUGCAACCCCAGUGUCCUCCAUCCUCCUACAACGGCCCAGGGAGCCACCGGCCUCCCUCCGAGCAUCGUUUUAACAGCCGGAAUACUGGUACUAAACGGCCGCUACAUACAACAGCUUGAACUCCGAGCAAGCUGUGGCAUGUAUACUUCUCCUUGGAAGAAGCCACCAGGACGUGGUUAUAGAAACACGAGUUCAGCCAGACAACGUGAGAUCUCUUCCGCAGCGCCUUCCUAAACACCUUCAUGAGCAUCACCCGGAAAGAGAGGGUGUAAGCGAUACUGGAAUCGCGUAGGCAGCUUCCGAACGACAACACUACGAAUUAAACCGGAGAGAUGACCGCCUGUUCGCCGUGCCGACCCGAACAUGUGUGAGGACAAGAAAUUUCGCAUACUCGUGCAUGCUGUGAAGCAAAAACUUUUCACCGGGUUGAUUCGGCGCGCAGCCUCAGUGGCUAACAUCAUCAGAGAGGAGAUCCAGUACUCAUUUAAAGUUCCUGUACCGAGGGCAGCUUGCUUCUUCUGUAGUCGUUCCAUGGCGCUUUCGAUGUCAGCAGGCGAAGUAUUCCCGGGUUUCGGCACCAAAAAAUGUAAAUGAAUGCUCGCGCCUUUGGGCUGACUCUAAUUGCUGUCGCUCUUUGACGACUCCGCUAACUUUUGCUGCGCGUUAACUAAGGUGGACGGCGUCGGCCGUGCACGCAGGAGCCUCGAAGGAAGGAACUUCACUCGUUGGGAUCCGUUUUGAGACUGGUUUAUUUACAAAAGAUAGAUCGAAGAAAGGAGAAGGGAAAGGGAGAAGUUACACAAAGUCCACGUUCUCUUUGGCCGCACCGAGGCCUUCGUCCUUGUGAGUUUUGCUCGGACUGUCGAUGAGAGAGGUCACGCAGCCUUUCGCUCCGACGACCUCGCCUCGCCAGCCGCACCCGACUCCACGUGGGCGGACGUGCUUGCACAUCGUUCCGGCGUGUGCUGCAUGAGCCGCGUGGCCACCGCCAUCGCGUGCUGCCACGCAUGCUCUGCGCGACCUCCUACGCCUACCUCGCUGCAUCGUGCCUGCCUUAGGAUCCCUCCCCUUGCCCGGCGUCCACACUUCGAGUGUCGAGACACCGAGACGACACGGCAUGAAGCGAUGACCUUCUCCACCGUAGCCUACCGUCACGUCGCCCUCCGCGCUCCCGACCACCGGCCGCUCUGCUAUCACUCCGGAGAAGCGGGUCACGUCUACCGCCGAUGCUCAUAUUGUCAUAUGGGACUACGAGGCUUCGCCAUCAACAUCCACAGCUUGGUGAACGACCACUUGACAUCACCGCAAUGCAAUGGAGGCCCCGAUGUCUUUUUCGUUCACCUUCGCCAGGACGCUACCUGUCGCUACAGCGCCCACCGUACACAGGACCAGCCCGUGGCCGGUCCGUAAGCCCACAUCCGGAAAAUCAAAGGCGGCAACCGAUAGAGGUACGGUUGCUGUUCGUCGAAAUGCCCAAGGCCCUCCCCCGCCAACGACGACGUUGCAAGAACCACAUCGACGAUGCCGCAACGAAACUGAACUUGCCGUCUUUGCAAUAUGACAAUACUUUGUCGGCAAUAUUCCGUAAAUCUGCAAGUGUAGUACGCCGGUGAAUGUUACAGGCGACAGGCGAGUAAACGUGCUUUCUCUACAUGUUGUAAACGCGCGAGUGUUGUACACCGGUGAAUGUUCAAGCGCCGGCGGCAAGGAAGCUACUUACUUGUUUUAAAUCAAUAAUUUAGGGUUGUAAUAUGUCAUCUUCGUACGUUUGCUGCAAUUUUCCCUUUGAUGCAGUGCUUGUGGUGUACACAUCUCCAAUAUAUGUUUUACGAACAGUG